GACUCUCAGCAAUAGAUAUCUCGGCUCUCGUAUCAAUGAAGAACGUAGCAAAAUAUAAUACUUGGUAUGAAUUACAGAACCCCGUGAACCAUAGAGUAUUUGAACACAAGUUGCGCCCGAAGCUAUUAGGCCGACGGCACGUCUGCGUGGGUGUCA